AGCAGCCGCGGUAAUUCCAGCUCCAAUAGCGUAUAUUAAAGUUGUUGCAGUUAAAAAGCUCGUAGUUGAAUUUCGGGAUCAGCAUGUCGGUCGUGCCUCUGGUACGUACUGGUAUCGCUGGUUUCUACCUUCUGACGAAUCAUGAUGUCAUUAAUUUGGUGUCAUGGGGAAUCAGGACUGUUACUUUGAAAAAUUAGAGUGUUUAAAGCAGGCACACGCUUGAAUACAUUAGCAUGGAAUAAUGAAAUAGGACGUUUGAUCCUAUUUUGUUGGUUUCUAGGAUCGACGUAAUGAUUAAUAGGGAUAGUUGGGGGCAUUAGUAUUCAAUUGUCAGAGGUGAAAUUCUUGGAUUUAUUGAAGACUAACUACUGCGAAAGCAUUUGCCAAGGAUGUUUUCAUUAAUCAAGAACGAAAGUUAGGGGAUCGAAGACGAUCAGAUACCGUCGUAGUUUUAACUAUAAACUAUGCCGACUAGGGAUCGGAUGAUGUUAAUUUUUAAUGACU
rnacentral:rRNA from 1 species